rnacentral:tRNA from 2 species
UGCAGCGUAACCCAAUGGCUAAGGCACUCGGCUCAUAACCGAAGAUAUGUGGGUUCAAAUCCCACCGCUGCGA